GUACAAUGGAAGCCCUUCUGCCUUGCUCAAGACUGGAUGUCCCUCUUUUCUAACUUGCCUAAACACCAUCGGCACACAGCACAGUCCUUUGAGUGGGUCUCACACUGGACACAGCAUCGAGGAGCUUCUCCACGGGGAAGUGUGUGUGUGAGAGCCUGCCUGUGUGUCAACACUGUCCAAGACUCGGAGCUGCGACUCGGUCGCGUGGUGCGGAGUCCAGGGCUGAGAAGGCAGCGCACUAAAUAUCUCUGUAUCAGUGUUCAGCAAAACAAGCUUAGACGGAACAGAGUGAGGUGUCUGGGCUCAGGAGUAAAAGAAACACCUUCCUUCCCUCACAUCCGUUUGUGGUUUGUUUAAGAAGAAGAGGAAAAAAAAAAAAAAGAGGGGGGAAAAGCGCUCAACUCUCCCCCAAGCCGCGGCGCGCACCCGUCGGCGCCGAGCGCGCAGCCUGCUCCACCGCCGCCUCUUGGUCCCGCCGCCGCCGCUGCCGCCGCCGCCGGGCAGCUGGACGCCCUAUAGGGCUCUUGGCAGUCCACGAAAGACCUGGAGUCCGCCUCCCCAUUUCUCCGGUCGGUGAGUGGCAGGAGGAAAUCGCCAAACAUGUUUUCCCGCUUUGCCUCCCCAACUCGGAAACUUGCAACUUGCCGUGUCCUGGAGGUUGAGACAAUUUGGGGUCUCUUGGCUGCCGUCCAACAGAUUUAUCUCUGAGGGCAGUGUCCUUGGUGAGAGGUCCAAGUAGGUGUGGGCGACAUUGUCCUCCAUCUCAUGAGGGAGCAGCCCUGCACACUAGGGCCCAAAACUCUGCGAAGGAGCUUGGAAGUUCUUCAUCCGUUCCACUUGUUUUGCUACUCCACACACCCUUCUAGGACAUGUUGAUUGCCAACUGCUCUGUGCAGCUUUCCCAUAGCUGUCUGUUCCCGUGCAUUUCGGAGCACCAAGCAAAUACGAGCAGAGAGACCUGGAAAAAAAAAUGAUGAAGACAGUAUUAAUGAUAAAAUUAACAUGGCUGAGUGAAUUGUCAAUGCAAGUUCCUUUACUAACUCUUUGUUAAGUUUUGCUUUGUACUCCUUACAUCCUCUUUCUCUUAAGCCAUUGUUUUAAUUUCUUCUCGUUAUCAUUUUUAAAAGUAACAGAAAUACAGCUUUCUUCCUACCUUCACGAUUGACUUGGUGGAGGUUGGGUUGCAAAGAGGAAGCAGUAAGAAAAAAUAAUUAUUCUAUACAUUCACAAGUCCUUCAAGGCACAAAAUAAAAGUAAGAAAUAGAAAAUAUGUCCUUUCUCCUAAUAAAGGUCUUUAUAAUAAAAUUUAAAUGAAGUUUUGUGUUUCAUAACAGCUUCCCAAAUACUGUUGUAGAUACUAAAAUGUGCCUGUAUGUAUUUCCUUCCACAAUAAUAAUAGUAAUAAUAAACUUUUUUAGGUCCAAAUUAAACAUUUCUCAGCUUAAAUUUCUAUCCUCAAUCCAACAUUUAUUAUAUCAAAACUUGAUUUUUAAAAAUAAAACUUUCUUGGAAUUCAUCAUUGAUGUCUGUUUGAUGGCCUCGUGAACAUCAGGAAGAUGAAAUGAAAUGGUUCAAGACUGGAACAAUACCAUUAUCUGCAUCUUGACUCCUGGGAGAUAAUGAUAUCUCCUGCUUUCCUCUACAGACCUACCAGUUUUCUCUGCUUUAAGGGAAAAUCCAAAUGCAUGAGACCUGUGCAUUCUUCUACAUAAUCAAGAGUCUGGUUUCUUCCAUCGGAGUGUAUGGAGUUAAAGUGGUAUACUGUACAUGGCAUGGUGUGAUAGGUGGGAAUAUGAGCUACUGGGGGAAAAAGUUCUUACUUCUAGCCACUUAUACAAAGAGAGGCCAUCUCAGUGUAAUCUGAAAAAAUGCUCACUUUAUAAUGCUGUAUCCAAGGCCCAUCAAAAACUAAAUGGAUGUAUUUGUACUAAAAGUUGGGGAAAGUUGAAUAUCUAAACCUCUGAGCAAAUCUUUCUUAAUUUAGAAAAUAAAAUAGAGCAUCAUUGUAAUACUUUUCAGUUUCCUGGACAUUCAACUCCA
rnacentral:lncRNA from 1 species